rnacentral:rRNA from 1 species
GACAGAGGGUGCGAACGUUGUUCGGAAUUACUGGGCGUAAAGCGCGUGUAGGCGGUGAGGCAAGUCGGAUGUGAAAGCCCAGGGCUCAACCCUGGAAGUGCACUCGAUACUGCCUUGCUGGAGUCCCGGAGAGGAUGGUGGAACUCUCGGUGUAGAGGUGAAAUUCGUAGAUAUCGAGAAGAACACCGGUGGCGAAGGCGGCCAUCCGGACGGUGACUGACGCUGAGACGCGAAAGCGUGGGGAGCAAACAGG